UACGGAGGGUGCAAACGUUGCUCGGAAUCAUUGGGCGUAAAGCGCACGUAGGCGGCCUGUUAAGUCGGAUGUGAAAGCCCCGGGCUCAACCCGGGAAGUGCAUACGAAACUGGCAGGCUUGAAUAUGGAAGAGGGUCGCGGAAUUCCCGGUGUAGAGGUGAAAUUCGUAGAUAUCGGGAGGAACACCAGUGGCGAAGGCGGCGACCUGGGCCAAUAUUGACGCUGAUGUGCGAAAGCGUGGGGAGCAAACAGG
rnacentral:rRNA from 1 species